AAGACACUGAUCUAUAGCACAGCGCAUCAUAGAGGGGUCUAUAAAGCACUACUGGGCUCAGUGCGUAGAAGAGCUACAAAGACAGAGGCUCCAUGGCUUCACUGGACUGAGGGGCAAGGAGGGAUCAUUUCAGGCUGCAUCAACAUCCAGGCACCGAGUGAAUUAAUCCACUUCGGUAUUUCACAAUUACUGAGAUAGCCACGGGCACACCCCAACACUCAGA